rnacentral:rRNA from 1 species
GUCCGCUACCAUGCAGUCGGAGGUAGCACAGAGAGCUUGGUCUCGGGUGACGAGUGGGGGACGGGUGAGUAAUGUCUGGGGAUCUGCCCGAUAGAGGGGGAUAACCACUGGGAACGGUGGCUAAUACCGCAUAACGUCGCAAGACCAAAGAGGGGGACCUUCGGGCCUCUCACUAUCGGAUGAGCCCAGAUGGGAUUAGCUAGUAGGCGGGGUAAUGGGCCACCUAGGCGACGAUCCCUAGCUGGGCUGAGAGGAUGACCAGCCACACUGGAACUGAGACACGGUCCAGACUCCUACGGGAGGCAGCAGUGGGGAAUAUUGCGCAAUGGGCGCAAGCCUGAUGCAGCCAUGCCGCGUGUAUGAAAAAAGCCUUCGGGUUGUAAAGUACUUUCAGCGGGGAGGAAGGCGGUGCGGUUAAUAACCGCGCCGAUUGACGUUACCCGCACAAAAAACACCGGCUAACUCCGUGCCAGCAGCCGCGGUAAUACGGAGGGUGCAAGCGUUAAUCGGAAUUACUGGGCGUAAAGCGCACGCAGGCGGUCUGUUAAGUCAGAUGUGAAAUCCCCGGGCUUAACCUGGGAACUGCAUUUGAAACUGGCAGGCUUGAGUCUUGUAUAGAGGGGUAGAAUUCCAGGUGUAGCGGUGAAAUGCGUAUAGAUCUGGAGGAAUACCGGUGGCGAAAGCGCCCCCCUGUACAAAGACUGACACUCACGUGCGAAAGCGUGUGGAGCAAACAGGAUUAUAUACCCUGUGAGUCCACGCCGUAUACGAUGUCGACUUGUAGGUUGUUCCCUUGUGGAGUGUCUUCCGCAGCUAACGCGUUAAGUCGACAGCCCUGGGGAGUACAGCCGCACGGUUAAAACUCACAUGAAGUUGACGGGGGGCCCGCACAAGCGGUGGAGCAUGUGGGUUAUAUCGAUGCAACGCGCAGAGCCUUAUCUACUCUCGUCAUCCACGGAAUUCUGCAGAGAUGCGCUCAGUGCCUUUCUCGAACACGUGAGACACGAUG